GCGACGAAGGACGUGUAAGCCUGCGAAAAGCGUGGGGGAGCUGGCAAUAAAGCUAUGAUCCCGCGGUGUCCGAAUGGGGAAACCCACCUCUUAGGAGGUAUCCUUAUCUGAAUACAUAGGAUAAGCGAAGCGAACCCGGAGAACUGAACCAUCUAAGUACCCGGAGGAAAAGAAAUCAACCGAGAUUCCGCAAGUAGUGGCGAGCGAACGCGGAGGAGCCUGUACGUGAUAACUGUCGAGAUAGAAGAACAAGCUGGGAAGCUUGACCAUAGUGGGUGAUAGUCCCGUAUUCGAAAUCUCAAUAGUGGUACUAAGCGUACGAAAAGUAGGGCGGGACACGUGAAAUCCUGUCUGAAUAUGGGGGGACCAUCCUCCAAGG
rnacentral:rRNA from 1 species